rnacentral:lncRNA from 14 species
CCCAAAAAUCCCUGGGAAUCCCAAAAAUCCCCGGGAAAUUCCAAAAAUCCCAGGGAAAUUAAGAAAAAAAACCAACACUGGGAACCCCGAAAUCCCUCUGGGAACCCCCCAAAAAAUCCCUGGGAAAUCCCAAAUCCCUGGGAACCCCAAAAAGUUCACUGGGAACCCCCAAAAAUCUCUGGGAAUCCCCAAAAAAAUUUCCUGGGAACCCCCAAAAAAAUCUCGGGAAAAUCAGAAAAAUCCCCCGGAGAUCCCAAUAAAAAUCUUGGGAACCCCCAAAAAAUCCCCCCUUGGAACCCCAAAAAUCCCCAGAAAAUCCCAAAAAUCCCUCUGGAAACCCAAAAAAAUCCCUCUGGGAACCCCCAAAAUCUCCAGAAAAUCCCAAAAAUCCCUAUGGGAACCCCAAAAAAAUCCCCCCUGGGAACCCCAAAAAUCCCCAGAAAAUCCCAAAAAUCCCUCUGGGAACCCCAAAAAAUUCCUGGGACCCCCCAAAACCACCCUAGGACCCCCCAAAAAUCCCCGUGAAACUCCAAAAAUCCCUCUGGGACCCCCCCAAAAAUCUCUGGGAAUCCCUAAAAAUCCCCCUGGGAACCCCAAAAAAUUCCUGGGACCCCCAAAAAUCCCCCCUGGGACCCCCAAAAAUCCCUCAGGGAACCCCAAAAUCUUCCUGUGAACCCCAAAAAAAUUCCCCCAAACCACCCCAGGACCCCAAAAAAACCCACAGGGAACCCCAAAAAUCUCCCUGGGAACCCCGAAACCCCCGGGAGAUCCCAAAAAACCCCCAAAGAUCCCCCUGGAACCCCAAAAAGCUCCCCGGAGCCGCCCCCCAAAAAUGUCUGGGUGCCCCCGAGGCCUCUUCCGGCCGGAAGCACCCAAAGGUGGCGGGGACGUCACCUCCGGACUGGGGGAACUGGGAGGGACUGGGAGGGACUGGGGGGAACUGGGGGAACUGGGGGGGACUGGGGGAACUGGGAAGGGGAAGUGGGGGGAACUGGGAGGGGAUUGGGGGGACUGGGGGGAACUGGGAGGGACUGGGAGGGACUGGGGGGAACUGGGAGGGGAUUGGGGGAACUGGGAGGGGAUUGGGGGGACUGGAAUUAAACUGGGAGGGACUGGGAGGGACUGGGGGGCACUGGGAAGGGGAAGUGGGGGAACUGGGAGGGACUGGGGGGACUGGGAGGGACUGGGAGGGGAUUGGAGGGACUGGGAGGGACUGGAAUCAAACUGGGAGGGACUGGGGAGAAUGGGGAAGGGGAACUGGGAGGGACUGGGAGGGACUGGAAUCAAACUGGGAGGGACUGGGAUGGGAACUGGGUGGGACUGGGGAGAAUGGGGAAGGGGAACUGGGGGAACUGGGGGGGACUGGGGGGACUGGGAGGAUUGGGGAGACUGGGAAGGACUGGGAGGGACUGGAAGGGGAACUGGGAGGGACUGGGAGGGGCUGGGAGGGACUGGGAGGGACUGGGAGGGGAUUGGAGGGACUGGGAGGGACUGGAAUCAAACUGGGAGGGACUGGGAAGGGGAACUGGGGGAACUGGGGGGGACUGGGAGGGACUGGGAGGGAUGGGGGGGGAAUUGGGGAGACUGGGAGGGACUGGAAUCAAACUGGGAGGGACUGGGAGGGACUGGGAGGGGAACGGGGGGCACUGGGGUGGACUGGGAGGGACUGGGAUGGACUGGGAGGAACUGGGAGGGGAUUGGGGGGAACUGGGAGGGAACUGGGGGCACUGGGAGGGACUGGGAGGGGAUUGGGGGGACUGGAAUUAAACUGGGAUGGACUGGGAGGGACUGGGAGGGACUGGAAUCAAACUGGGAGGGACUGGGACGGGAACUGGGUGGGACUGGGGAAGGGGAACUGGGUGGGACUGGGAGGGUUUGGUGGAACUGGGAGGGACUGAGAAAGGGAACUGGGGGCACUGGGAGUACUGGGAGUACUGGGAGUACUGGGAAGGAGAACUGGGGGAACUGGGAGCACCCUCAAGCAGCGCUGGGAGCAAACUGGGAACACUGGGAAAAUCCCAGUGCUGGCCCCUGCCCUGCCCACAGCCUCCCAGUCCAUACUGGGAAUGGGGAAAUCACUUCCCAGUCCAUACUGGGAACUUCCCAGUCCAUACUGGGAACUUCCAACUCCCUCCCAGUCCGUACUGGGAGCUCCCAAUUCCCUCCCAGUCCAUACUGGGAGCCCCAAACCCCUCCCAGUCUCUCCCAGUCCAUACUGGGAGACCCCAAUUCCUUCCCAGUCCAUACUGGGAACUUCCCAGUCCCUCCCGGUCCAUACUGGGAGACCCCAAUUCCUUCCCAGUCCAUACUGGGAACUUCCAACUCCCUCCCAGUCCAUACUGGGAACCCCAAUUCCCUCCCAGUCCCUCACAGUCCAUACUGGGAACCCCAAUUCCCUCCCAGUCCCUCACAGUCCAUACUGGGAACUUCCCAGUCCCUCCCAGUCCAUACUGGGAACCCAAAUUCCCUCCCAUUCCCUCCCAGUCCAUACUGGAAACUUCCCAGUCCAUACUGGGAGUCCCAAAUCCCCUCCCAGUCCGUACUGGGAGCCCCAAAUCCCCUCCCAGUCCAUACUGGGAGCCCCAAAUCCCCUCCCAGUCCAUACUGGGAGCCCCAAAC